AUUCCAUGUAUAUAUGUAACAUAGUGUUUAUCCUUAUCUUGUUAGGAUAAAUAUGACCUUAUGACGGUCUAAUACCUUGUAUAUAUAUAGACCUUCUGGUCGACAGUAAUGAUAACAGAAGCAUUUCCCCAAUACUUCAUUUACAACACGUUAUCAGCACGAUAGCCUCCAAAACCCUCAGACAAAACCUAACCUAAAAUCCGUCACACAUAAACCCUAAAUCAGGCGCAACUUAAAAUUGAUCUAUCUCUCAAACCCUGAGGAACCAGACGACGAGCCACAUAUCAAAUUGAAGCUCUGGACAAGACAAAUCUAUCAGCGAAAACCGUUUGUCAAUCCGAUCUCAGACGCGCCCAC
rnacentral:lncRNA from 1 species